UCCAGACUCCUACGGGAGGCAGCAGUGGGGAAUAUUGGGCAAUGGGCGCAAUCCUGACCCAGCAACGCCUCUUGAAGGAAGAAUUCUUUCGGGUUUUAAACUUCUUUUAUUAUUGACGAAACAAAUUCCGGUACCUCCUUAAUAAGCCACUUCUAACUACGUGCCAUCCUCCGCGGUACUACUUAGGUGGCAAGCGUUAUCCGGAUUUACUGGGUGUAAAGGGCGUGUAGGCGGGACUGCAAGUCAGAUGUGAAAAUUAUGGGUGAAACCCAUAACCUGCAUUUGAAACUGUAGUUCUUGAGUGAUGGAGAGGAAGGCGGAAUUCCGUGUGUAGCGGUGAAAUGCGUAGAGAUAAGGAGGAACACCAGUGGCGAAGGCGGCCUGCUGGACAUUAACUGACGCUGAGGCGCGAAAGCGUGGGGAGCAAACAGGAUUAGAUACCCGUGUAU
rnacentral:rRNA from 1 species